GCAUAAAUUUUGUAGGGCUUUACUUAGAUUAUGUUUGCCAGGUUUCUUUGCUAUUGUGAGUUUAGGUUUGAAUUUAAACAAUUGAAACAUGUAAAUCUAGCUGUAAUUAAACGUGAGCGUUAUGAUGUUAUGAAUAAUUGUUGAUCUUAAGAUAAUAUAAGUGCACUUAAAAUCUUGAAAGUGAUUAUAAAAGCAAAGCCUAAUUUCAUUAGCAAUACCAUAUAUAAAUAGAUUUGGAAUCGUAGAACACAUUUAGUUUAAUUAUUCACAUUAAGGCAAACGGUUCAAAGUUUUAUUAAAAUAAAAUAGUUUUGUACGUACUUUCGUACUGCUUUAAUACAAAAUGAACAUCUUUUUCCCAUUAACUGCUUUAUUUAUGUUGGGCAUGUUGACAGCUGUUACUGCAGUCUCUGAGCCCGUCUGUUCCUACAAAAAUUCCCAGGGUGAGACGGUAUUUCUGAAAUAUUUGCCUUAUU